rnacentral:rRNA from 1 species
UACGGAGGGGGCUAGCGUUGUUCGGAAUUACUGGGCGUAAAGGGCGCGUAGGCGGCUUAACAAGUCUGGAGUGAAAGCCCCGCUUUCAAGGUGGGAAUUGCUUUGGAAACUGUUGAGCUUGAGUACGGGAGAGGAAAGUGGAACUCCCAGUGUAGCGGUGAAAUGCGUAGAGAUUGGGAGGAACACCAGUGGCGAAGGCGGCCUUCUGGACCAUUCCUGACGCUCAGACG